CCCUGGGUGGUGGAAAGGAUUAAUAUGCUUGGCUUCUAACUAAAAGUUUGGAGAUUUGAGUCCCCCCCCAGAGA
rnacentral:tRNA from 1 species